AUGAAAGUCAGGGAGCAUAUUCGAGCAGAAAUUGGGGACUCAAAGUACUCUAUUCUUGUGGAUGAGACAUGUGAUGUGUCCAAAAGAGAGCAAAUGGCACUAGUUUUCAGAUUUGAUGAUAAAUAUGGUUAUUCACAAGAAAGAUUCUUUCAUCUCAUACAUGUAGCCAACACAAAAGCACUGACACUAAAGAUGGAGUUGUGUAAAGUAUUAUCCAAGCAUGGAUUUGAUGUACAAAAUCUUCGAGGACAGGGGUAUGAUGGGGCAAGCAACACGAGGGGAGAGUUGAAUGGAUUGCAAGCUCUAUUCAUUAAAGAUUGCCCCUAUGCAUAUUAUGUUCAUUGCUAUGCUCAUCGGUUGGAACUCUCCCUUGUUGGUGUAGCAAGAGAUGUGGUUCCAGUCACCCAAUUUUUUCAGAAACUUCACUUUGUUAUAAACACAGUUGACUCCUCUUCAAAGCGACAUGAUGAGUUGCAUGAAGCCCAGGUGGUUGAGAUUGCACGCUUGCUUGCUAUCGAUCAGAUUGAAACAGGCAAAGGAGCUAAUCAAAUACGCUCAUUAAAGCGACCAGGAGAGACUAGACGGGGUUCUCACUUAGGUUCGAUUUCUAGUCUUAUGCAUAUGUUCAAUCCAGUGAGAGUUGUUCUAGAAAAUCUAGCUGCGGAUUCAUCAGCUGGAGCAAACCGGGCUGAUGGUGAUACUUCUUUCACUUACCUGACCUCUUUUGAGUUUCUAUUUAUCCUAUGCAUGAUGAAAGAAAUAUUGGAAACUAGCGAAGAUCUUGGGAAGGCUUUAUAG
rnacentral:rRNA from 1 species